AUCAGCUCCAGUUGACUGACUCUGUGUGUUUGCAUAUGUGUUCAUCCUCUCUGCUCUCAGACGUUAAGAGGACAGUGUUGAUCAGUGUCUGUCCACACCUUUCAGAGACACUGACACACCUGCAGCACAAUGAUGAUGUCACUGAUUCUACUGAUGCUCACCCUGGGGAUCCUGGUUCACGGUUCAUCAGGAGACAUCACCAUGACUCAGUCUCCUGGAUCUCUGUCUGCUGCUCCAGGACAGACUGUUUCUAUCAGAUGUAGAUCUAGUUCAAAUGUUGGCAAUGAGGUAGACUGGUACCUUCAGAAACCUGGAGAAGCUCCCAAACUCUUGAUUUAUUAUGCUACAAACCGUCAGUCUGGAGUUCCAGACCGUUUCAGUGGGAGUCAAUCUGGAAGUGACUACUCUCUGACCAUCAGUGGAGUUCAGACUGAAGAUGCAGGAGAUUAUUAUUGUCAGCAGGAUUACGGCUUCCUGUUCACGCAGUGGUACAACAUCAUACAAAAACCUCCCUCAGCUGAAGAGGAACUGAUCUGAAUCAACAGCUGCAGA